rnacentral:rRNA from 1 species
GGGGAGUACGACCGCAAGGUUGAAACUCAAAGGAAUUGACGGGGGCCCGCNCAAGCGGUGGAGCAUGUGGUUUAAUUNGAAGCAACGCGAAGAACCUUACCAGGUCUUGACAUCCCGAUGCCCGCUCUAGGGAUAGAGUUUUUCUUCGGAACAUCGGAGACAGGUGGUGCAUGGUUGUNNUNNNNNNNNNNNNNUGAGAUGUUGGGUUAAGUCCCGCAACGAGCGCAACCCUUAUUGUUAGUUGCCAUCAUUAAGUUGGGCACUCUAGCGAGACUGCCGGUAAUAAACCGGAGGAAGGUGGGGAUGACGUCAAAUCAUCAUGCCCCUUAUGACCUGGGCUACACACGUGCUACAAUGGUUGGUACAACGAGUCGCAAGCCGGUGACGGCAAGCUAAUCUCUGAAAGCCANUCUCAGUUCGGAUUGUAGGCUGCAACUCGCCUACAUGAAGUCGGAAUCGCUAGUAAUCGCGGAUCAGCACGCCGCGGUGAAUACGUUCCCGGGCCUUGUACACACCGCCCGUCACACCACGAGAGUUUGUAACACCCAAAGUCGGUGAG